AACGAACGCUGGCGGCAUGCCUAACACAUGCAAGUCGAACGAGACCUUCGGGUCUAGUGGCGCACGGGUGCGUAACGCGUGGGAACCUGCCCUUAGGUUCGGAAUAACUCCCCGAAAGGGGUGCUAAUACCGGAUAAGGUCUUCGGACCAAAGAUUUAUCGCCUUUGGAUGGGCCCGCGUUGGAUUAGCUAGUUGGUAGGGUAAAAGCCUACCAAGGCGACGAUCCAUAGCUGGUCUGAGAGGAUGAUCAGCCACACUGGAACUGAGACACGGCCCAGACUCCUACGGGAGGCAGCAGUGGGGAAUAUUGGACAAUGGGCGAAAGCCUGAUCCAGCAAUGCCGCGUGAGUGAUGAAGGCCUUAGGGUUGUAAAGCUCUUUUACCCGGGAUGAUAAUGACAGUACCGGGAGAAUAAGCUCCGGCUAACUCCGUG
rnacentral:rRNA from 1 species